UACGUAGGGUGCAAGCGUUGUCCGGAAUCAUUGGGCGUAAAGCGCGCGUAGGUGGCUUCGUAAGUCCGUUGUGAAAGUCAAAGGCUCAACCUUUGAAUGCCGAUGGAUACUGCGAAGCUAGAGUACGGAAGAGGCGAGUGGAAUUCCUGGUGUAGCGGUGGAAUGCGCAGAUAUCAGGAGGAACACCAAUAGCGAAGGCAGCUCGCUGGGACGUUACUGACACUAAGGCGCGAAAGCGUGGGGAGCGAAC
rnacentral:rRNA from 1 species